UAUAUAUAUAUAUAUAUAUAUAUAUAUAUAUAUAUAUAUAUAUAUAUUUUUUUUAAAGAUAGAAUCUUCAAAUGUUUACUGUGGUAGAUACUGGAAGUACAUUUAAGGGAGAAAGGGUAUAAUUUGUAAUAGUAUCACUGAGAGCUGAAAAAGCAACUAAACUUUUUUUUCCACUGCUGGCAGGGUAAACUUUUUUUUCCCCCACUGCUGAGCUACAUUUUCCAGCCCGCAGCUAAUGAUUUUUAAUAUUUGCAGCUCACUUUUCCAAGUAUUGAAACUUCAUUUGAAUGUCUAAAUCAGUUUUUGUUAUCUUAGAAAUCCAGUGAAAAAUGAGAAAUGUGCGAUUAGCCAAACAUACCAGUUAAUCCAAGGAGAUCUAAGGUAUCAAAGGUUAACAAAAUGCAUUUGCACUUCAAGUGUAGUGGCUAAUUACACUUGAUAUGUACAAUUGUAUCUAAUCUGUGGGAAGAAGAAAAAAGGGAGUAGGGGAGAAAACAUAUCCAAAGAGAAAUAUACCAAAAUAUUGUUUUUUAUUUUUAAAAGAAUUAGAUAGAGCUGCAGGUGUAGCUCCAUGGUAGAAUACACGUGCAAGGCACUGGACUCAAACUCUAGCAUAGGGGGGAUAAGAAUCAAAAAAGUGGACCAUUCCUUCCUCCAGCCCAUGAUAACCCUAAAAUUAAGGAGACUUGAUACUUGAUAAGCAAAUUGAUUCUAAGCAUUAUUAUAGAUACCUGUCCAUUGGCAUGUACACUCAUAUCCUUUACCUCCCUGUUCCUCCAGUUCUUCUCUAUUUACAUACAUGUAAAAAAUUUUUAGAAAUGUAAGGAUGGCAGGUAAGUGGUAACAUUAGGGCUGGGGAUGUGGCUCAAGCGGUAGUGCGCUCGCCUGGCAUGCGUGCGGCCCGGGUUUAAUCCUCGGCACCACAUACAAACAAAGAUGUUGUGACCACCGAAAACUAAAAAAUAAAUAAAAUAUUUUUUAAAAAUUGUAACAUUAAUACUUAUUGAUUAAAUAUGCACAGGCAGUAUUCAGUUUGAGAAAAUUGGAGGUCGAUAAAAACUAUCACUGCCUUGAGUUUCAUGGAAUAGUGACCUGCAAUAGCAAUAUAUACAAUAUAACAAGCGUUCUUUCCUGAAAAUGCUGGUAAAUUUAAUUCAGAAGAUCAAAAUACUCUGGCUGAAGUGCUAUCUGGUUGGACCAGAAGUCCAGCAAGGAGUCUCUUGAGAAGUGGGGUUUUUUAUUUUUAAUUAAAUGAGAAGGAUUGGAAAUACUAUCUCUUGACAGGCAGACCCUACCUUGGAAGUCUCAGAAGUCUCAUUAUCCAUAGAAAAGGUGUACCAACAAGUACACAAGACUUAUUUUGCCUACGUCCAUUUGUUCUUUAAAUACCAAACUCUUAAAUUCCUGGGGGAAAUCAAAGGCCCUUUCAAAAAAAAAAAAACGAGGAUAAGCCUGGGCCAAAAGAUCAAAAGAUUCCUAGUCUCCAAAGCAGUAACUGUGCAGUGAGUACCCGCCCAUUUUGAACACCGCGCAACUCCUAUGGGCGUGGUAUAAUUAUGUGGGCCUUUACUCCCAACAGACUGGAUUUGAGAGUAUAUCUGGGAGACAGAUACCGACCAGUAUCCUCAUCUCUUCGAUCAAUAAAACUGGGGAGGCACUUGGAGAAGGGGACAAAUGUGCCUGCUGCCGAGCCGCACGCACUGGCUUCUCUGGUUCACCAAGCCGCACCCAGACUGCACAGAAGGGUGCACUCUUUUUCUAGAAACAGCAGGGCCUAAGGACAGGAAGGGAGCUGGCUAGUCCCUACUACGAGCAGGCGCCGCAGAGCUCAGCGGGCUGCUUCAAGGACGCCGCGAUCCCGCAUUUGGAGACUACGGAUCCCUCGGGGCUGAGGCCGGGCAGAUCUUUCCUACCCCCAACUCAAAGAAACUGGUGGCGCGACGCUCGCCCCUGCACGCUAGGAGAAAAUGGAGCAGGGGACUGGCGGAGAACGCGCGCCACUCUCCGGGCGCUGUUUCUCCCUUCCUCGGCCUUCACCCUGGACCCCGGGAACAGAGAAGCAUGAGGCCACGAGCCUGAGUUCGGAUGGGCCAUUUAGUCACUCCAUCCUGCUCCACUAAUCCUGUCUGCUCUUCCCCACCCGCCAGACGCCAGACUUGGUUCCUCGGGCCGCGGCUGAGCGCACCACAGCCCCGCAGCAGGGAGAGCUCUUGCUUUCGCGUCCCAGGCCAAGCCGUGUCGUUGCAACCGCGGCUUUUCCACCCAGCGCCGCAGACCAAACCCACAGUGUGGCUGUGGCUCCUGACCUGGGAGCACAGGCUUCCUGGGGCAUCCAGACCGAGGAAAUUGGGAGCCUUUCCAGGCCAUGGCGGAGGGCUAGGCCUCCGGAAACCCGCGGGGAGAGGAGGCUCAAAUCUGUGCUGCGGAGGCCGCGAUGAGAGCAUAGCAAUGCGGCGCUACGAUGCUGACACCGCUGUGGUGUCUGGGGCAGAUUCUACGUGCUGUCUUCCAAAGGGCGGGCGGCCGGGACCCAGAUAGGCAGUCUUUGGAUCUCAGACUUGAAGGCCAAAGUCUAUCUGAAGUUGGAUCCAAUAGAAAGUCUCUCCAGAGUCUGGGCAUCAAGGCUAUGCCCACGGACGUAAAGAGUGAGCGUGGAUUGAAGCGUUUGGGGCAUUAAAAACUCCCCACUUUUCCAAGGAAGACAUUUUCUUUGAGAAGAAUGGUAAAGAAAUCAAAGUGUUGAACACACCAGGCAGGUGCUGGGCAUAUAUUGGAAUGAAUCCAAAAGCACAGGAAACAUUAGGUUCACAUUUAAAAGGAUUCAUUUUUGCCCUUCAAUCUUCACAGGAGAGAGGGAGAGGGAGAUGGAGAGAGAGAGAGAGAGAGAGAGAGAGAGAGAGAGAGAGAGAGAGAGAGAGAGAGAGAGAGAGAACAAAUUUAUAUGAACACAUAAUUAAAUACGGAAUAAAUUUUUGUUGACUAUUUGGAUUCCCUCCCCAUCCUUAUAAGCAAAAGCUAAAUGGAAAAGAGAAAUAACAUUUUUAAGAAAAUGCUUUUAGUAGAAACUCAAUUAUCCAAAUUUCUGAAUUCACCAAGAUUAAAAUAAUCAUAAAACAAAGCAAAAUAAAACCUUGGAAGCAUAAAUAAGGUAUAUGAGCGGUGUCUACACAGAACCUUUGAAUUGGUUCACAGCAUUUCUCCAAAGAAGCAAAGAGAAAAAUAUAGAAAGUGUCUUUACUUUAUGUUUCUAUUUUAAUCAUGGUAUUUUAUUUACCUCAUCAUAAAUCUCCUGUUGAAGGAUGGGGGUAUCAGUAGCAGAAUAUUUGUCUUGGAUGCACAAGACUCUGGCUUGGAUCCCCCAGAACCAGAAACAAACAAGCAAACAAACAAACCCUGAAAUUUAGUGUUAGUUUAAAAAAAAAAAUCAGAGAACACUACUUUGAUGCCAUUUGGAUUUUUAAGAAUAAGAUUGUUGAGGUGCAAUUAAUUUGGAGAUGCACAGGUCUCCUUAUUUUAGACUUCUUAAAGAGUUUUAUUGAUUUACAUGGUACUAAUAUAAAUAUCCUUCAAUGUAGCUAUCUUUAAAAUAUUUUAGGAGGUGUAUGCUUCAUCAAUAAAUUAUCAUCAAAAAUUAUUGCACAAAGGAUCAAAGUAAGUGGUAGAGCACUUACCUAGUAUGUAGGAGGCCCUGAGUUAGAUACCCAGCAAUGGGGGGAGAGGGAAAUUUUACACAGGUAUAACCAAAAGAAGACAUGAUAUAUGCUCAGUUGGGGUACUGUAACGGAUGAACCACAGAUGGGUUCAUCUCUCUCUUUCACAAACUGUCUUUGCUCUUAUAUUUUGUCAUAGUAUCAAUUUUAAAAAUUAUCCUCUAAAAGAUUCUAAAUUUCUAAUUAAAAAUUUUCUAAACAUGCUUGAUUCUUA
rnacentral:lncRNA from 1 species